GUUAAUAGCACGCUACUGUGACGUUACCUACAGAAGAAGGACCGGCUAACUCCGGUAAUACGGAGGGUCCGAGCGUUAAUCGGAAUUACUGGGCGUAAAGCGUGCGCAGGCGGUUUGUUAAGCUAGAUGUGAAAUCCCCGGGCUCAACCUGGGAAUUGCAUUUUGAACUGGCGAACUAGAGUCUUGUAGAGGGGGGUGGAAUUCCAGGUGUAGCGGUGAAAUGCGUAGAGAUCUGGAGGAAUACCGGUGGCGAAGGCGGCCCCCUGGACAAAGACUGACGCUCAGGCACGAAAGCGUGGGGAGCAAACAGGAUUAGAUACCCUGGUAGUCCACGCCGUAAACGAUGUCUACUCGGAGUUUGGUGUCUUGAACACUGGGCUCUCAAGCUAACGCAUUAAGUAGACCGCCUGGGGAGUACGGCCGCAAGGUUAAAACUCAAAGAAAUUGG
rnacentral:rRNA from 1 species